ensembl:lncRNA
UUAACAGAGGGAAAUUUCUCCGGGUUAACUGUCCAUCGGGUAGAUCACAGUGAAAGUGCUGACAUGAAACUCGGGUUGCUUGUUGUGGUGGCUGUGGCAGUUCUGCUGCCCAGCUUUUCUGAGAGCCGGAUCGUCUCCAAAUGCGAGCUCCAAGACAAGCUUGGGAAAGUGAUACGUCUGCCCAGGACACUCUUGGCUAUAAGUAAGUCCAAUGACUUAAAUCCAUGACAAAAGUCUGUACCUUAGCUGUAGACUAGAAUACCACUGGGGUAUUUAAGCCUAAUGCUGUUUUUUGAUUCUUCUGUAUUAGAAGAAAAUAUUAACUUUUAUAAAUCUGAUAGCUUCAGUUAUCAGUUCAAAGGCAGCAGUAAGAGCACAGAGAGAGAGAGAGAGCCUAGACCAGUUUGUCUAUUCAUUUAUAAAUAAAUCUGACAUCCAAUGAAAUAUAUUUCAUGUGGCCCCCAUGACUGAAAAAAGUAACCACUAAAGUAAAACUAAAAGCACAUACAUUUGAAAGAAAACAGAAAGAAGUAGCAACUCUUACUGGCUAUCACCUUUAUAAUUGCAUUUUUUUUCUCCUUUGUUUGCUUUUACUUCUUUGCAUGUGUGACUUGUUUGCCACAGUUGUCUGUGAAGUGGACAGGAUCUCUCAUCUGAACACCAGCUUGGUCAAUGUGCUUGGCAAGCGCACAACUACCACACUAAAGCCAACAACCCCCUCCACAACAGCAGUCACCUUAACGACCACUGGAGCGACGACACUGACAAGCACCAACUCAGCAACCACUGACCUGACUGCUACUACUACUACUACUUCUACUGCUAUUACUACUACUACUACUGUCAUGACUACUAGCCCUGCGAUUACUAACUCCACCAUCAGCUCAGUGAACACAACCCUUGUGUCAAACAGCACAAGUGGCAUGAACAGAAGAAAGCGACAUGCUCACUCGAGCAGUGAGGAGGAGAUCGGGCAAACUGGCGGAGGAGUGGAAGACAGCAGUGAGGAGGAAAACUUGAAGCCUUCGUCCCUCGGCCUUUACGGGCUCUUCCAGCUGCCUGACAACAUUUUCUGUAAUUCGGGGCUUCGUCCAUCCAGAAAUGUUUGCCGCACCUCCUGCAACUGUGAGUUCUUGCACCCACAGCGGGUUAAUUUAUUAUGUUUUGUUUUUUUGUUUUUUUUAUUUUGCAUAUUAAAAAUUGUUUCUUUUUUCCUCGCAGCCUUCACUGACAAUAACAUAACUGACGAUAUUGCUUGUUUCAUCAACACUGGUUACUGGAGGUAAGUUUCUGGACAGCAUAAUACAUAUAGGUCAAAUAAAUAAUCAAACCUUUGAAUAAAUAUCACAUGCCUGUAAUGAAUUAUUUGACUAAUUUAUUUGCAGUAUAUAUACUGUACAACAAUUGACAAAUUAAAGAAAAAUCCGAUAUAAACUGAUUUAGCAAGCUGUGACAUUAAUACAGCUUCAGCACUCCCUUGCAUGUCUCUGGAACUUUAAUGUAAGGACUGAACACCAUUGUUAAGAAAUCACUGUCUGAGAUGCUGGUUAGGAUUUCUGAAGGGGAUCCACCUCAUAUAUAGAUGCAAUAAUCAAACAUUACAAAUGUGUACAGCUUAGCUCACUCAGUAAAGCAUGUGAUCAAUAUGCCAUAAGGUUAAUGCUGAGGCCUGGGUUUGAAUCUGUCCCCAAAAUCAGUCAUUGCAUAUCUUCCAACAACUGUCAAAAAAGUGCAUUCUUUAUAUUAAAAAGAAGCAGAUACACAAAAAGCUUAAGUGAAGACACUGAAUAUAACACAAAUAUGUUAAUGUAAAGAGAAAUACAACAUAUGGUGUUGCCUAAUAAUUACCUUUUGUUUUAAUCCAACAGGAACAUUGUGAGGAGAGCCUCUCGCUCAUGUCGUCACAACAUGAAUUUCUUAAGAGAAUGUAAAUAAGUGGAUGUGGAAUCACAGUUUUUCCCUGCAGAAUCACAAAAAAUUCUUCACAGUUUCCAUCUCCAGUGAUCUGUGAUUAAGGAACCGCAUGCUCCAUUAUCUACUUUACCUUAUGAAGCACUAUUUUCUUUCUUUGGUGGAGGAAUCUUUCAAUAAACAUUACUUUGCAGCAUAUAUACA